UACGUAGGGUGCGAGCGUUGUCCGGAAUUAUUGGGCGUAAAGAGCUCGUAGGCGGUGUGUCGCGUCGGCCGUGAAAACCUGCAGCUUAACUGUGGCUUGCGGUCGAUACGGGCAUCACUGGAGUUCGGCAGGGGAGACUGGAAUUCCUGGUGUAGCGGUGAAAUGCGCAGAUAUCAGGAGGAACACCGGUGGCGAAGGCGGGUCUCUGGGCCGAUACUGACGCUGAGGAGCGAAAGCGUGGGGAGCGAACAGG
rnacentral:rRNA from 1 species